UACGUAGGGUGCGAGCGUUAAUCGGAAUUACUGGGCGUAAAGCGUGCGUAGGCGGUUCGUUGUGUCUGUGGUGAAAGCCCCGGGCUUAACCUGGGAAUGGCCAUGGAAACUGGCGAGCUGGAGUGUGGCAGAGGGGGGUGGGAAUUCCGCGUGUAGCAGUGAAAUGCGUAGAGAUGUGGAGGAAUACCGAUGGCGAAGGCAGCCCCCUGGGAUAACACUGACGCUCAUGCACGAAAGCGUGGGGAGCAAACAGG
rnacentral:rRNA from 1 species